GUGCUCCCUUUGGCAGCGCAUAUACUAAUAUUGGAACAAUACAGAGGUUAGCAUGACCCCUGUGCAAGGAUGACAUGCAAAUUCAUGAAGCAUUCCAUAUUUCU
ensembl:snRNA U6 U6 spliceosomal RNA